CAUAGAAAUCUCAUGAAACCUAGGCCGAUAGCAAGUGACCUAACCCUCUCAACCUGCAUGUCUUCGGAAUUUGUUUUCAUCCCGUUCUUUGUUGUCCGCCGUUCGAAAGCUGCAGUCAACAUGAGGAAUCAACUCGAAGGGUUUCCAUUGCGUUGUUUGAUUGUCACCACAAUCAACAUACAUGAUUUCUUCCCCCUCCUGCAAUGGGAGAUCAAAAACGUUACAGAACUCAACCAGAUUCAAUCAGUGUCGUUAAAGUUCUUCUUAACUCUAUCUCUUCCCCCACUCCUUCCACGAUUCUUCAUUCAAUGUUCCCACCUUUCUUUCAGACGAUGAAUCUACAUAUAUAAAUAGAACACAAUGACAAACUCCUCUCGCUAUGAGCUCUUGCCUAGGAGUUGAAGCUUAAGACAUCCUGGAGGAAAGACAAUCGUCGGAAACAAGUGCAGCACAGUAAGAGGAGGAAAGCGGCGACGGAGGGAAAGGAGGAGGAUGAAGGAGGUGAAGGAUAAAGAGAAAGCCAUUGAUGAUGGUGAAGAGGAUAGAGAGAAGAGAACAUUAAUGGAGAGUGGGACAAAGCUAACACCAGUGAGAAGGAUAUCUAUGGAAACACCGAGGACACUGAGCUCAAGAAUUGGGACUCCGAGUUCGUCAAAGCUGCUAACUAUUUGAGCAUCACUGGACUUCUUAACCCGACGUGUAAGACUGUAGCGGAUAUGAUGAUAGGCAAGACUCCAGAAGAGAUGCGCACGCACUUCAACAUUAAUAACAACAUGGGCCUUUGAGUGGCUUCCCUGGUGGUUUUGGCAAGUUCUGUUGGUUUUUUAUCAUCAAGUUUGGGUCUUUGUGCUUUUUUUUAUCUAUAGUUUUGGUCACUAUCAUCUUUUGAUGCAACUCUGUACAUACCUUCAUACCAAAAAACUCUCUACAUACAAGUAGACCAUGUUGUUGAUCCAAACGCAUGUUCCUUAAGUGUGGAUGUUGGAUGUUGAUGAUAAAAAGAGAUUACUUGGUAGCUUAGCUAUCUCUGUUCCCGAAGUAU